AUGUACAUAUCAAAUACAUUGUGUGUUGCCUCAGACCCCAAUCCAAGAUUUGGUAGCACAAUCCCUCUCCACAACGCAUCCAAGAGCCCUUCUCUACUAUGGAGGACAGAAUAUCACACAUUCACGUUAUAUCUGCUAUUUCCAAGUUGUGUUCCUGAAUCACGCAGUAUGUAUUUCAGAGUGUUCACUCUGACGAAGAGAAGAAGAAGAGAUGUGCUGGGAACCUCCUUCCUCUCCUUCCUCUCCCUCCUCUCCCUCCUCCUCCGUCCUACCAGGAAUGGACCAGGAUCGACCCAGAUGAUUCAGAGGUCCCUAGCCUGGCCCUGGAAGGGCUUGGGCUGAGGACCAUACCCUCUGCUGGGUAGGUAGUUUAGGCUACCUCCACUAAUCUAUCACAGGUCCCAGGUCUGCUGGUGUUGUCUUUCCAUCUCAUAUGGUUAUUGUCAUGUUGUUCUUCUUCAGAAACACAGAAAUAUGUAGCAAGACUCCUGAGCCUUUAUCCAUAGAAGAUGUGUGUCAACGCAACCCUUCAGGGGUAAGAGAUUUCUCUUGACAGGCUAUAGGGUUACUGCAGUUUGGAGAAUGUUUCAGAGUUUAACACAUCAGUAACCUUAACCCUUAAAGCCUGCAGGUUAUAAUGCAUCGUAAUACAUGUUUAACCAAUGCAUGUUUCAUUUCUCUUGUUUAGGUGAUAAAUUGUGGAUAUAAGCUUUGGAGGAAUUAUGACGAGGAGACAGCCUAUUGAGUAUCUUCGUUUGAUGUGAAGGCCACAAGGCUACACCAAUCACCAAUCACCAAUACCAUGAAUAAGAUAAAAAGAUGAGAUUAUGUAUUAUUUUGACACCAGUUCACUUAGAGACCAGUUCACUUAGAGACCAGUUCACUUAGAGACCAGUUCACAGAGACCAGUUCACAGAGACCAGUUCACAGAGACCAGUUCACUUAGAGACCAGUUCACUUAGAGACCAGUUCACUGAGAGACCAGUUCACUGAGAGACCAGUUCACUGAGAGACCAGUUCACUGAGAGACCAGUUCACUUAGAGACCAGUUCACUGAGAGACCAGUUCACUUAGAGACCAGUUCACUUAGAGACCAGUUCACUUAGAGACCAGUUCACUGAGAGACCAGUUCACUGAGAGACCAGUUCACUUAGAGACCAGUUCACUUAGAGACCAGUUCACUUAGAGACCAGUUCACUUAGAGACCAGUUCACUGAGAGACCAGUUCACUGAGAGACCAGUUCACUCUGGAUUCCUAUUGUGUUUGUCUUCGACUAUAUCAACAACAACAAAACGAUAUAGAUGGUAAAAUUACAAAUGUUUUUACAAAUAAAAUGUAUUAUUAGCAGUAUGUGUUUUACUUAUAGAAUGUAUCAUCGACAUUAGGAGUAAAGAACUAACGGCAAAUAACGAAUAGAAAAGCAAUUCUUUAACUACCAAUAAUUUUUAAAGAGAAAUAUAACCCAUGUGUAUUUAGAACGACACUUUCUACUCACUCGAUUGAUUCUGACUGAAUGAUUUGAGCUUAUAAUAAAACUUGCUAAGAAGUUGUUAUUUUAACGGACCUGUUGCUAUGGUUAUUGUUUAAUCGUUAAGGCCUGGACUGCAUUUCCUGUGUUUUGUCACCUACCUGACUACAUCCCAGGACUCGAAAAUAACAUCUUUAAUAAUAGGCCUCACCUUUAAAUCAUGGCCUUCGUGGGAAAUGGUUUGUAAAUGAUUUCAGUCAGGACUAUUAUUGACGAGGAAAAGCAGAAAAAUGUUUUACAUAAUGUGGUAAAAUAUAAACUGCUUUAUUGGAGGAAAGCGUCCAAGUAUGUAUUUUGCAGAGAAAGUUAAAAAACAAAACCAAAUAUAAUUAAAAUAUCUUCUAUCUGGUUAGAGCCUGAGCAUCAGAAAUCAAUGUAUUUAUGCAUUAGACUAUAGGUCUGAGUCCUAC
ensembl:lncRNA